AAAAAAAAAGAAACAAACAAAAUAACAGAAACGAUAUCGAUGACAUAGUCGUUAUCGUAACUAAAACAUUACUGCGAUUGGUGCGACAGAGACAGAGUCAGAAAACAGUUAUAAUGGAGAGGUUGCUGAAUCAUGUCGAACCGUCGAAAUAAGUUGCUGAAGAAUCUUCUUUUGGACUUCAAUGAAACAUAAUUACAUAAACAUGCCUCACAAUAUGUACACGAAUCUCCAAGGAAACUGAAUACAUUCAUAACACUUUCGAACUUUUUCUAUUGACGAUAAAUAAUUAGAUAUAAUACUUCCAAAGAAGUGAAAAUUAAACUUUCCCAAAUGUGAACUACAAAAUCAACGUUGGUACUCGAACUGUUUGAAGAAAUGAGAACAAAAUCUUGAUGAACCAAACCCAAGAUCUCAUGAUUGUUUUGUUCUUUUGAAAGUCUCCAUUAACAGCUGUAACAUUUUGUUUCUUUUCUAUACAAAACAAAUACAUUUACACAACAAUCUGAGAACAUUCUAAGCUAUUUGAGAUACUUAAUGAACAUACUGAUUGAAGCUUCUAAAAUACAUAUGUACUCUCGGUGUUUAAAUAUAUGGUACACCACUCGUAUCAUCAUCUACAACAACAACAACAACAACAACAGCACAACAAGAAAACAAGUACAACAACAUCUACAGAAGUUACCUUAUGUACAAUACUAAAUAAACAAC